AGUGUUUCUCCAGUACUGGUUACAACUAGGUGUUGGUUCACUAAAAAGUCUGUAUUUCAUAAGAUUGUUAUUCAAAUGUGACAAUUUGCAUUACAUUGCAUUAAGAAAUGGUUAAUCUAUAAAUUUUGAUAUUUUGAGCUCAUAAGGUGCUAGGGAAAUAUUGAAAUUGUAAAAAAUGUGUGAAAUUACUACCCAAAAUGGCGGCUUUUGAUGUAACACGGAACACCAUGGUAUGAUUGAAUUAAUAUCGUACUAAAACCAAGGGGCAUAAAACUUCCAUCUUUGUUGGAAUAUGUUAACAAGAUCCUCAUAUUUCAAUGUCAUUAUUUAGUUUUUCUCAAGGUUAUCAAAAUAUUGAUUAAACACGGCCACAAAAAGGCGUUUGAGGCGCAUCGCGAUGUGUCCCACUUUAUACGGAAUUACAAUCCUCUAUGAAUUGUAAACAAGAAAUAAAUAAUAUGCUCAACAUUGCAUUUCUGUUACAGCAAGCAUUAAAGAUUUCUUUUAAAGUAUUUUUUUUGUUAAAAGCUUUCUAAACAUGCAUAACGAGCUUAAAAUAGGUCGAGGUGUCCCAGAUGAAGCGCCUGUGCUGCGUGUGUUAAGAAUGGGAUUAUUUUUCCCACGACACUACUUUUUAUGAAUGAGAGUUCUUUUGAGCAUCACAGGUAUUGUGUAGAACAAAAGAAGUGCCGUUUCCGCUGGAAAUACUAGCGUAGUAAUUAACAGGAGUACGUAAACAAUAGCGUGUCCCACAAUUAAGCAUUGAUGCGCCUCAAGCGUCGACACGAUCAAUCGCCGGCAAUCUUGCACAAAAACCUCAUUUAAUCUGUUUUUUGUGAUCUUUUGUGAAUCAACAACCCAUCAGAUUUCAGUAAUGGAGUAUCUGUUAGAGUUUCAAGGCGUCUACAAGCCAAGAAAGACUCUAAAUUUACAAGCAUCAAAGCCUGAGUCUCUAACACGUGUUGCUGUUUUAGAGCAGAGAGAAAAGGAAAGGUUGAGAAAAGCUGCAUACAGGGCCUAGUUAAGCCCACAUGAAAAAGCUUGGAUAAACAGAAAACGCAAAGAAAGAAAACAGCAAGCUAAUAGUCCACUUAAUGUCAUCUCAGCAGAGGUUGGUGAAUCACUAGGUACUGGAUUCCAGACUCCAGUGGCAAAAAAAAAAUGGCUGUUUCAAGGGCUUUGAUGAAAUUGCCUAGGUCACCCAAGAAAUAUGCUGCAGUUUUUGAAGGUCUCACACAAAUAUGCUCCCUAAGAAAAAGUAAAGCUGUCCAUGACUUACGCUUUCUGCGCCUACCUGAGAGAAGAAAGCUCAUCCUUCUAAACAACAUUAAAGAAAGUAUCAAAACCUAACUACACUCCACCAGCAAACAAAAAAGUCAGAUGUCUAGUGCUCGUAGACAAGUACUCUGCAGUAUCCUUAGUAAGUACAACAAACUCAGAGGUUGUGCUACUCAUUUCUAACAUUUGGUCAAGAAGUUUUAUGUCCAAGUGCAAAUCAGAACAAAUUGCAAGAAAAAAAAUGACGUGAUUGCAUUGCACAAAAUGCCUUGGAAACAAUAUUCAUUUUUUACAGUAGAGGGGAUGUCUCAAGAACUGAUCCCUCUCAAUCAUCUGUUAGUGCUCAAACAGGAAAACGUUUCAUGCAAAAGCUACUUAACAUAAGAUGCAGUCUUGCUUAUGUGAGUUGUGUUUGAAGAUUUUUCUUUAUAUAUAUAGAGGGCAUUAAUAAAUUUCUGAUCAAAAAAGGACACAGAGAGCUGACAUUAAUAAAUCUAGCUUCAUCACUUGACUUAACUCUAUGCCCAAGAACUAAUGCCAAUUGUUUUCAUAAGCUGCAGUGCAUUGAAAGAUCAUGUAGCAACUGUGGUGUGGAUUUAAUUAACAAGUAUUGAGCCUUUAAAAAAUUGCACAGAUGAAUUAGCAGAGUAGAGUAUGUUCAGAGUGAUGGUACACUGCAAAAGGUAUCAAAGUGGCGACCAGUAAAUAAAGAAGGAUCUUUUAAUGACCUAGUGAGAGGUAUUACACCUAACACUAUUGCUUACAGAAAUAGAAGCUGUUUCUGCUAUCCAUGCAGAAAUUCAUAUGGCAGUCAGUGCCUGCAUGAUGAAAUAUGUGGCUCUUGGAAGGUGUUCAAACUUCAGAAACAAAAUGUAGUGCAAUCUCAGUCAAAUCUUGAAGACUCUUUGGAUGUCAGUCCCAUAUGCUCAAAUUCAAAGGCCCAAACAAUUUCCUUCACUCAUCAAAAGUACAUUGUAAAUAGCUGUGUGAUUGUCAAGUAUGGGGAAAUAUUCUAUCCAGGUAUAAUUUUUUGCACUGUGUACCUUUUAAUUUCAAUAAACAAGUUCAAAGUAUGUUUUAGAUUGAAGUAUUAACUUUUCAACAUUGCUGGUAAUUUUUUCUAACAGGAGUUGUGAUAGAAGUCCUGGAUGAUCAGCGCAGAAAUAAUUUUUAAAAAAGGCACAGAAAUAAAAGAAAUAUAUUUGUAUAUCCAGAAGUGCCGGACAUACAGUUAGUGUAUGCAGACAUGAUUGUUACUGAAGUGAUGUUGAUACCAAUGGCAAUAGUUUGAGAGUGGAAUGUUUUGAUUUCUGAAUUUGUGAAAUAAAAUUUGUGUACAGUUU